AGCGAACGCUGGCGGCAGGCCUAACACAUGCAAGUCGAACGGACCCUUCGGGGUUAGUGGCGGACGGGUGAGUAACACGUGGGAACGUGCCUUUAGGUUCGGAAUAGCUCCUGGAAACGGGUGGUAAUGCCGAAUGUGCCCUUCGGGGGAAAGAUUUAUCGCCUUUAGAGCGGCCCGCGUCUGAUUAGCUAGUUGGUGAGGUAAUGGCUCACCAAGGCGACGAUCAGUAGCUGGUCUGAGAGGAUGAACAGCCACAUUGGGACUGAGACACGGCCCAAACUCCUACGGGAGGCAGCAGUGGGGAGUCUUGCGCAAUGGGCGAAAGCCUGACGCAGCCAUGCCGCGUGGAUGAUGAAGGUCUUAGGAUUGUAAAAUCCUUUCACCGGUGAAGAUAAUGACUGUAGCCGGAGAAGAAGCCCCGGAUAACUUCGUGCCAGCCGCCGCAGUAA
rnacentral:rRNA from 1 species